AUGAUAUAUCACAUCGUGAAUGAGGAAUUAGUCAGACGAGUGAGUCAUCUCUCAUUCAAUGGGAAUAAAGGGAAAUAUACAUGCAGAUGCAAUCAAAUUCUUUAAUUAUUUGACAUGGACUUGGCAUGCAUUCGGAUUCACUCGCCCCUUGUCAAUAAAUAUCAAAUGUUUUGCGACUGCUAGUCCACGACUCCACGUACUGUAGGCCAGUCGGUAGCUCCAUCAUUAAUUAAUUAAUUUCAUAAUUUGAGGUUGGCAUGCAUGCAUGCAUGGUGGUUAAAAUUUGGUGACGGGGAUUACUGGUGGUUGCAUGGGUUUAUUGGUUUUUAUAAAUUUGUAUGCUGUAAGACAGUAAGUGGUUGCAUACGUGUUUGAUCUACUUUGUUGUUGCAAGUUUUAGGCUAUUUAACAUGCAUGGAAAUCUUGUUGAGAGAACUUUUCUUUUAAGCAAGGGACAUAGCCGUAUUGCUAUACUACUUGCAUUUGGUCUAGUAAUCAUACUCUCUUCUCAAUGUUCAAAGUUUGAACUUCUCCUUCCUCGUAAACAAGAGCAUUGCUAUUGCUACCAUCAUUGUGCGAUUUUUGCGAUGAAGUUAGAAAAAAAAUCUCUAAUUCCACGUUUUACCAAAAAAAAAAAAAAAAAAAAAACAACAACAACAACAACAAAACAACCAACUAAUGUAAAUGUUUAGCUCAAAGUUGCGACUCACUACUAAUCGGUAUUACUCUCAACUUAAUUACCUAU
rnacentral:lncRNA from 1 species